UGUUGCAUGAGUUUGUAGACGCUGUAAAUCGAAAUAUUGACAAUAUAAGAUUUCCAAGAACACAACAAGAAUUGGCAGAAGCAAAACUUGGCUUCUACAAAAGAUGCAAAAUUGCCAAUAUCGUAGGUGCAGUCGACGGAACACUCGUCCCUAUCAUUGCCCCGAAAGACAGUGGCGAAGCCUAC